rnacentral:rRNA from 1 species
ACGGGGUGCAGCAGGCGCGAAAACUUCACACUGCAGGAAACUGUGAUGAGGGAACUCCAAGUGUGUGCAUUUUUUGUACACUUUUCUGAACUCUUAAUCGGUUCAGGAAGAAGGGCUGGGAAAGACCGGUGCCAGCCGCCGCGGUAAUACCGGCAGCUCAAGUGGUCGUCGCUUUUAUUGGGCCUAAAACGUCCGUAGCCUGUUUGGUAAAUCUGUGGGUAAAUCAACCCGCUUAACGGAUUGAAUUCUGCAGAGACUGCCAGACUAGGGACCGGGAGAGGUGUGGGGUACUCGAGGGGUAGAGGUAAAAUUCUGUCAUCCUUCGAGGACCACCAGUUUGCGAAGGCGCCACACUGGAACGGAUUCGACGGUCAGGGACGAAGCCUAGGGGCACGAACCGGAUUAGAUACCCGGGUAGUCCUAGGUGUAAACGCUGUGAACUUGGUGUCGGGGAUCCGUCAGGGGUCCCCGGUGCCGGAGUGAAGAUGUUAAGUUCACUGCCU